rnacentral:lncRNA from 1 species
ACGAAAUGGUACCUCGGAGCCUCUGAAGAAGGGUGGUAGGUUCCCCAGCCUCAGCACCACCUGGGGGGGCCCUUCCCCCAGUCUUGGGGCUCUUAGCAUCAGGCUCAUCUUCUGCCAUCCCGGCAUGAGGGCUAGAAUUGAGAGGGACAGGCAUAAAGAUGUAACUCACACUGGCCUUCCCUUCCCCAGAAGGCCCCAGGGCACUCCUCAUCUCUUUACCCAGAAAGGCAGAGAAACAGAAACAAAGCCUCCGAAUUUCCCCGGUGGUCUUUUUCUUACCACUUGCCUUGUCCGAAAAUUAGAAAUUAUUCCAUUACUUCGCCAGGCCCAUAUAUACCCAAAGAGAUCUUUGCCAUCUCCAUUCUAUCUGCCCCACCUUUCUGAAGUCUCCUAAAUCUGGAAAACUGUAAAGGAAGAGAUAGGGGGAUUGGGAAUCCAUGUUAGCAAGAAAUUUUCAUUUCUGCCUCUGACCCCAUACUGCCCUCCUCCCCCUCAAAAACAACAAUAACAGCCACAAAACAAAGUUCUCUAAUUCUCAAAAAUACUCCUCACCAUUGCAUAUGCCUGGGAGGUCAGAAAGGAUACGAACAUAUUCUGCCCUUCUAGGCUUGGAAAAAAAACUGGGCCCAAGUUCUCAUUACUUAAUCUCGCCACGACUUCCCCCGCUGCUCCCCCUCCCCACGUCGCCGGCCCCUACGUCAUCUCCCACAACAGCCCAUCCUGAGGCGCGCCCCCACCUCCUUCCCUUCCCCCUCCAUUCAAUCCCCGGUUUCUGCAAAGUGGAGCGGGGGUGGGGCGGGGUAGCGGAACUCAUUCGCUGGGCGUCAGAAACCCGGCAGGGGAAUGGGGUCCCAGAUUCCGGGCACGUGCACAUGGGUGAAGAAGCUGUUGAAAAUACAGCUACAAUCUUUUUCUGCUCUCCUCCCAACUCAUCUUGCCCCUCCCUACCUCUGAACAGUCGCCUUCCAACACAAGCAACAAUAAAGUCUAGUCUACGGUCCUCAGAGCUGCCGGAAGAGAAGAAUCAAUGGAUGAUAAAAUAACUAGACAAUGAUGGGUAGGAGUGAUGGAAGUUCACUGUAAGCUCCUAUAACCCCCCAUCACCAUCACCACAUGCCUAAUACAACCUGCAGACACACUUACUCGCAACAGACCUGCAAUCUGGGCUCUCUUUCCUUCUUGAUGGAGGCCUCAAAACCUCAGCAGUUGUACCCAUUAAACUAAAAUGCUUUUUCC